UACGUAGGCAGCAAGCGUUGUUCGGAAUUACUGGGCGUAAAGAGUGUGUAGGCGGUGCUCUAAGUUCGGUGUGAAAUCUCCCGGCUCAACUGGGAGGGUGCGCCGGAAACUGGGGUGCUGGAGCGCGGGAGAGGAAAGCGGAAUUCCUGGUGUAGCGGUGAAAUGCGUAGGUAUCAGGAGGAACACCGGCGGUGUAGACGGCUUUCUGGACCGUAGCUGACGCUGAGACACGAAAGCGUGGGUAGCAAACAGG
rnacentral:rRNA from 1 species